GAAGGAUCAUUACUAGAACAGAUUCAAGCAACCUGCAAAGGCGAGGGGGGGGUGAACGUCUACCUACGCCCCAGGGCGCGGAAGCUCGCCCGGCCGCCCGGCGGCGAUCAACUACCGCGCCGCCCCCGCCGAUCCCCGAACCCCACUCUCUGCGUACACAUCCCUGUUGCUUCCCCGGGGAGAGCCCCGGGGGAGGUCCCCGAGCAGACAAUGCGGACCAACCCUCCCGAGGCCCCUCCGUCUGAAGGCCAGCGCGCCAAAGGAAGCAGGAACGAGCGAGUGAACGAAAAACUUUCAACAACGGAUCUCUUGGUUCCCGCAUCGAUGAAGAACGCAGCGAAAUGCGAUAAGUAAUGUGAAUUGCAGAAUUCAGUGAAUCAUCGAAUCUUUGAACGCACAUUGCGCCCCCUGGCAUUCCGGGGGGCAUGCCUGUUCGAGCGUCUCCAGGACGAAUCCUCGCGCGAGUGAACGCGCGGUCGUGGCGGAGGUGGCGUGCCCGAGCAGGGCGGCCACCGCGCUGGAAUCCAUGGGCGGACGCCUGCCGCGUGGCCGAGCGUGAUAUGACGCAUUGGCGCUCGUGCGCGGCGAGGCUGCCAGCCCUGGCCCGUCUGUCGGGCGGGGUAGAUCAACACGUGGGAACUCCUCGAAUCAGGUAGGGAUACCCGCUGAACUUAA
rnacentral:rRNA from 1 species